GAUGAACGCUGGCGGCGUGCCUAACACAUGCAAGUCGAGCGAACCCUUCGGGGUGAGCGGCGGACGGGUGAGUAACGCGUGGGUAACCUGCCCUGUACACACGGAUAACAUACCGAAAGGUAUGCUAAUACGGGAUAAUAUAUGAGAGUCGCAUGGCUUUUGUAUCAAAGCUCCGGCGGUACAGGAUGGACCCGCGUCUGAUUAGCUAGUUGGUAAGGUAACGGCUUACCAAGGCAACGAUCAGUAGCCGACCUGAGAGGGUGAUCGGCCACAUUGGAACUGAGACACGGUCCAAACUCCUACGGGAGGCAGCAGUGGGGAAUAUUGCACAAUGGGCGAAAGCCUGAUGCAGCAACGCCGCGUGAGCGAUGAAGGCCUUCGGGUCGUAAAGCUCUGUCCUCAAGGAAGAUAAUGACGGUACUUGAGGAGGAAGCCCCGGCUAACUACGUGCCAGCAGCCGCCGUAAUAC
rnacentral:rRNA from 1 species